rnacentral:rRNA from 1 species
GAUGAACGCUGGCGGCAGGCUUAACACAUGCAAGUCGAGCGGAGAUGAGGUGCUUGCACCUUAUCUUAGCGGCGGACGGGUGAGUAAUGCUUAGGAAUCUGCCUAUUAGUGGGGGACAACAUUCCGAAAGGAAUGCUAAUACCGCAUACGCCCUACGGGGGAAAGCAGGGGAUCUUCGGACCUUGCGCUAAUAGAUGAGCCUAAGUCGGAUUAGCUAGUUGGUGGGGUAAAGGCCUACCAAGGCGACGAUCUGUAGCGGGUCUGAGAGGAUGAUCCGCCACACUGGGACUGAGACACGGCCCAGACUCCUACGGGAGGCAGCAGUGGGGAAUAUUGGACAACGGGCGGAAGCCUGAUCCAGCCAUGCCGCGUGUGUGAAGAAGGCCUUUUGGUUGUAAAGCACUUUAAGCGAGGAGGAGGCUACCUGGAUUAAUACUCUAGGAUAGUGGACGUUACUCGCAGAAUAAGCACCGGCUAACUCUGUGCCAGCCGCCGCAGUAAUAC